UGCCGCCUCCAGCUGCCCUAAGCUGCCUCUGCUGUUUUCCAGAGGGACCCAAUUACCACCCUCUUUUGGAGCUAGGGCCAGCAGAGAUCCCAAGGAGAUAGGAGAUGGCUCCCAGCAGGGCAGCAGGGGCCUUUAAAGCUCUCCCAACCAUACACCUGUUCCUGAUCAUCUGGGAUUUGGGGAAAAUAUUAGGACUUCUGAACGUGGUCCCUCAGGUCUUCAAGGAAUGUCAGGCUUUCAAAGUGUUCUCAUAAGUGCCAACUCAUUUGAUCUUUUUCACAGCUUGGGAGUUGCCUGGAUAGGUUUUAUUGGCUUCUUUGCACAGUGACCCUGCCGUCCAGAGAGAGGGGAAGCCGGCUGGCUAGUCACCAGCAAACCCUAUGACAUAGCAAUGAGUCAACGAUUAACUUUUAAAGAUGCAGCAACUAGAGACUCAGAGAAAAGAUGAGAAAACUGAGGCGAAGAAAGGCUAAGUAACUUGUCCAAGAUCUCAUAGCCAGCAAGGAGGAGAGCUGGGUUGAAUUCAGGCCAGAGUGACUACAGAGACUGAUGGGAAGCCUUGUCCCUCUGGCACCACCUUGACCACAGCAGGUUCCAGACUUUGGCAUUUUUUUUUGAGGCAGGAUCUCAUUCUGUCACCCAGGAUGGAGCGCAGUGGUGCGAGC